rnacentral:rRNA from 1 species
AUACGGAGGGUGCGAGCGUUAAUCGGAAUUACUGGGCGUAAAGCGCGCGUAGGCGGUUACUUAAGUCAGAUGUGAAAGCCCAGGGCUUAACCUUGGAAUUGCAUUUGAAACUGAGUGACUAGAGUCUGGUAGAGGGUAGGGGAAUUUCCGGUGUAGCGGUGAAAUGCGUAGAGAUCGGAAAGAACAUCAGUGGCGAAGGCGCCUACCUGGACCAAGACUGACGCUGAGGUGCGAAAGCGGGGGGAGCAAACAGGAUUAGAUACCCUGGUAGUCCACGCCGUAAACGAUGUCAACUAGCCGUUGGAUUCAUUUAAGAAUUUAGUGGCGCAGCUAACGCGAUAAGUUGACCGCCUGGGGAGUACGGCCGCAAGGUUAAA